rnacentral:rRNA from 1 species
GUGGACACCUGAAAGACGGACUAAUACCCAAUGAUAUUCAUUGAUGACAUCUGAUUUGAAUUAAAGAUUUAUCGGUAUAGGAUGGGGAUGCGUCUGAUUAGCUUGUUGGUGAGGUAACGGCUCACCAAGGCACGAUCAGUAGGGGUUCUGAGAGGAAGGUCCCCCACAUUGGAACUGAGACACGGUCCAAACUCCUACGGGAGGCAGCAGC